AUCAUUAUUGAAAUUAUAGAGUGACGGUUGUAGCUGGCCUUUCGGGGCAUGUGCACGCCCGAGCCCUUAAUCCACACACACCUGUGAACCCAAUGUAAGGGCCCGUAAAAAAGGCCUUUAUGUCUCAUCACCAACCUUUUAUGUCUCAUAGAAUGUAAAUCUAUAUCCUCGCCUUAAAAAACGUUGAAAAAACUUAAACCACUUUCCACCACCGAACUCCUGGGUCCCCCCUCCAUGAAAAAAGCCGCCAAAUGGCAAAAAUAAUGGGAAUUGGCGAAUUUCCGUGGAUCCUCCGAUCCUUGAACCCCCCUUGGCCUCCCUGGGAUUCCCAAGAACCUGGCUGGUUGAAUGGCCUUUAAUUCCCCACUCCCAAUCCAUUUGGUUCCAACUCGGAGCUUGGACUUUGGAGUGUGCUGGCGUCUGUCGGCUCCUCUUAAAUGCAUCAGCGGAAUAUAACCCCGGACAUCAGUGUGAUAAUCGUGUUGCGCUGUCGUCAGAGGUAUAAAGUCCGCUCAUAAUGGUCUUCGGACAACUUUACAUCAAUUUGACCUCAAUCAGGUAGACUACCCGCUGAACUUAAGCAUAUCAUAGCGG
rnacentral:rRNA from 1 species